UUUUGAUAUUUUCACUCAGAUUGUAAACGCUGCAGUCACUGAGAGCGUCAAAAUUUUCCGUUUAGUUGCAGAGUGCAAUGAGAAAAACUGCGUCGAUAAAACGUCGUCGACAACUUUAGCUAAUGAAUUUGUAGCCAAGUUAAUAUAGGUGAAAGGAAACACUUAGCAGCCGCAAUAAUCAGGCUACUACCUUCAUAAAGAUAUUCUAAGUCAGUGGAGGGUCUGGUGAGU